rnacentral:tRNA from 1 species
GGGGAACUAGCUCAAAUGGUAGAGCGCUCGCUUAGCAUGUGAGAGGUACCGGGAUCAAAGCCCGGGUUCUCCA